rfam:Ralstonia solanacearum strain IPO1609 Genome Draft.
CAUUCCGAGGAGCGUUGCAACGGACCGGCAUGCGCCCGGCCCGCCAGGCUCGGAAGUUCAAACGGCGCUCGCACUAU